AACGAACGCUGGCGGCGCGCCUAAUACAUGCAAGUCGAGCGAGAAGACGUAGCAAUACGUUUGUAAAGCGGCGAACGGGUGAGGAAUACAUGGGUAACCUACCCUCGAGUGGGGAAUAACUAGCCGAAAGGUUAGCUAAUACCGCGUACGCUCCUUGGACUUCGGUUCAGGGAGGAAAGCGAUGCCGAGGGUAUCGCGCUCUUGGAUGGGGCUCAUGUCCUAUCAGCUUGUUGGUGAGGUAACGGCUCACCAAGGCUUCGACGGGUAGCUGGUCUGAGAGGACGAUCAGCCACACUGGCACUGCGACACGGGCCAGACUCCUACGGGAGGCAGCAGUAAGGAAUAUUG
rnacentral:rRNA from 1 species